rnacentral:rRNA from 1 species
GAUGAACGCUGGCGGCGUGCCUAAUACAUGCAAGUCGAACGGAGAACAUCGUAGCAAUACUUUGUUCUUAGUGGCGAACGGGUGAGUAACGCGUUGGUGACCUGCCCCGAAGCGGGGGAUAACAGUCCGAAAGGAUUGCUAAUACCGCAUGUGGUUGUGGAGAUUAGAAGCUCUGCAACUGAAGGAGAAAUUCACUUCGAGAGGGGCCUGCGUCCCAUCAGCUAGUUGGUGAGGUAAAAGCCCACCAAGGCGAUGACGGGUAGGGGACCUGAGAGGGUGGCCCCCCACAAUGGAACUGAAACACGGUCCAUACACCUACGGGUGGCUG